rnacentral:piRNA from 1 species
GCCAGAUAAGGUGAUUGAAAUGGGUC